rnacentral:lncRNA from 10 species
CUGGGGAGGCUGAGGUGGGAGAACCACUUGAACCUGGGAGGCAGAGGUUGCAGUGAGCCAAGAUCACACUACUGCACUCCACCCUGGGCGAUAGUGAGACCUUGUUUCAAAAAAAAAAAAAAAAAUUGAGACCAGUUUUCAAUAUAUCUUCUUACAAACUAUGUAUCUUCUUUUCCAAAUGUAGGAAAAAAGUUAAUUGUGCUGAAAGGAAGAGUUUAUGGGCAAUGAUAAACAGUUAUAAGUUGUGGCCAGGCAUGGUGGCUCACACCUGUAAUCCCAACACUUUGGGAGGCCAAGGCAGGUGGAUCACCUGAGGUCAGGAGUUCGAGACCAGCCUGGCCAACAUGGUGAAACCCCAUCUCUACUAAAAAUACAAAAAUUAGCUGGGUGUGGUGGUACACACCUGUAAUCCUAGCUAUUCAGGAGGCUGAGGCAGGAGAAUGGCUUGAACCCGGGAGGCAGAGGUUUCAGUGAGCCAAAAUUGUGCCAGUGCACUCCAGCCUGGGCAACAGAACAAGAUUCCAUCUCAAAAAAUAAAAUUAAAGAAAAUAAAAUUCAUAUGGAACCAAAAAAGACCCAGAAUAGCCAAAGCAAUAUUGGGUAAAAAGAACAAAGCUGGAGGCAUCACAGUAACUGACUUCAAAAUAAGGCUAAUUUAGCCAAAAUGGCACUGUAUUGGUAUAAAAAUAGAUCAAUGUAAUAGAAUGGAGAACCUAGAAAUAAAUCCACGUAGUUACAGCCAAUGGAGUUUUGAGAAAGAUGUCAAAAAUACACAAUGGGGAAUGGACACCCCUCUUCAAUGAAUGGUGCUGGGAAAAUUGGAGCUCUCUCUACAUGCAGAAGAAUAAACCAGACCCCUCUCUCUCACUGCAUAUAAAAAUAAACUCGAGAUGGAUUAAAGACUUAAAUUUAAGACCUAAAACUAGUUAAAACUACUAGAAGAAAACAUAAGGGAAUCACUUCAGGACACUGGUCUAAGCAAAGCUUUUAUAGCUAAGGCCUAAAAAGUAUAGGCAACAAAAACAAAAAUAGUUAAGUGGGACUAUAUUAAGCUAAAAAGCUUCUGCACAGCAAAGGAAACAACAGAGUGAAGAGACAGCCUGUUGAAUGGGAGAAAAUACUUGCAAACUAUUCAUCCAACAAGGGACUAAUAUAUAGAAUAUGAGGAACUCAAACAACACAACAGUAAACAAAUCCUAUUAAAAAGUGGGCAAGGGAGAUGAAUAGACAUAUCUCAAAAGAAGACAUACAAAUGGCUAACAGGUAUAUGAAAAAAACACUCAACAUCACUAAUGAUCAGGGAAAUGCAAAUCAAAACCACAAUGAGAUAUCAUCUUACCAAGUUAAAAUGGCUAUUACUAAAAGAACAUAACAAAUGCUGGCAAGGAUGUGGAGAAAAAGGAACUUACACUGCUGGUGGGAAUGUAAAUUAGGGUAGUCAUUGUGGAAAACAGUAUGGAGAUUUCUCAAAAAACUAAGAAGAGAACUAUCAUAUCCAACAGUCCUACUACUAUUUACCCAAAGACAAAAAAUCAGUAUAUCAAAGAGACAACCUGCACUCCCAUCUCCCAUGUUUACUGCAGCACAAUUCACAAGAGCAAAGAUAUGGAAUGCACUUAAGUGUCCACCAAUGGAUGAGUGGAUAAAGAAAAUGUAGUAUAUAUAGAUGCAGUGAAAUACUAUCAGGCCAUAAAAACCAAGGAAAUCAUGUCAUUUGCAGCAACAUGGAUGGAACUGGAGACUUUUAUCUUUUUUUUUUUUUUUUUUUUUGGAGACAGAGUCUCGCUCUGUCACCAGGCUGGAGUGCAGUGGCACAAUCUUGGCUCACUGCAACCUCCACCUCCCGGGUUCCAGCGAUUCCCCUGCCUCAGCCUCCCAAGUAGCUGGGACUACAGGCAUGUGCCACCACACCCAGCUAAUUUUUUUUUUUUUUUUGUAUUUUAGUAGAGACGGGGUUUCACCAUGUUGGCCAGGAUGGUCUCGAUCUCCUGACUCUGUGAUCCUCCCACCUCGGCCUCCCAAAGUGCUGGGAUUACAGGCGUGAGCCAUGAUGCCCAGCCAUUGGAGAUUUUUAUCUUAAGUGAAAUUAAGCCAGGCCCAAAAAGACAAAUAUUGCAUGUUCUCACUCAUAUGUGAGAGCUAAAAAAGUUGAUCUCAGGGAGGAAGAAAAUGGAAUAUUAGAAGUUGGGGGCCGGGCGUGGUGGCUCAUGCCUGUAAUCUCAAUACUUUGGGAGGCUGAGGCAGGUGGAUCACUUGAGGUCAGGAGUUCGAGACUAGCCUGGGCAACAUGGUGAAACCCCGUCUCUACUAAAAAUACAAAAAUUAGCCAGGCAUGGCAGCAUGCGCCUGUAGUCCCAGCUACUCGGGAGGCUGAAGCAGGAGAAUUGCUUGAACCCGUGAGGCGGAGGUUGCAGUGAGCCAAGAUCACACCAAUGUACUCCAGCCUGGUAACAGAGCAAGAUUCUGUCUCAAAAAAAAAAAAAAAAAAAAAAAAGAAGUUGGGGUGGGUUGGCUAAUAAAAAAAUAAAAACAGGUUAGUUAAUAGGUAAAAACAUAUAGUAAGAAAAAAUAAGUUAUAAUGUUCAGUAGCAGAGUAGGAUGACUACAGCCAACAACAAUAUGUUGUAUAUUUCAGAACAGCUAAAAGAGAAGACAUGAAAUGAUCCCAACACAUAGAAAUAAUAAGUACUCAAGGUGAUGGACACCACAAACACCCUGACUUAAUCAUUACACAGUCUAUGAUUGUAACAAAAUAUCACAUACAUACCCCAUAAAUAGGUACAAAUGUCUGUAUCAAUUAAAAGAAUCCAGGGGUUUUAUUUAAACUUUCAUAAUCUCAAUAGAAGUUAUAAUAAAACAGGCUAAAAACUGGUAAUAUUUUAAAAAUUGGGGGAGAUGACAAAAGAAGUGUAACAAUGUUUGGGUAGAAAUCUUUUAAAUCUACUAUGUCUUCUUUAAAAAAUUAAGAAAUCCAUGGCUUCACAAUUAAAAUAGAACUACUUCUCAACACCGUGAGUUGAAUAAUGAUGUUUAAAAUGUUACUUCAGUUGUCACCAUCUGCUUUGCCUUUAAGAAAAGUAAAUUUAAAAAAUAUAAAUAGAACUAUAGAUAUAUAAAAUUUCUAGUUCUAUUUUUUAUAUAUACAUUUAUAUAUAUAUAAAAAUGUAUAUAUAAAAAAUUUCUAGUUCUAUUACCUGUUCUCCAAAGUGAGUAAAGCAGAGUAAAUUCCCAUCUACACAGCCAAUACAAAUAUACUGUGAGCAACAUUGUGGGGAAGAGAAGAGUGGUUUUCCACAGGAAUGUUUCCAAAUAACGUUCCCAGUAGCCUGUCACAGGAAAAAGCAAUUCACAGCAUUUUAUGUCAUCCUACUAAUCAGUUACCCUUUAAAAAACAAACUCAUACAUCUCCUAGGGUUAGAACUAAAAUAGCAGAAAAUGCUGUAGUGGUAUGCAGACAUAAAUGAAGCUGGUAUACAUAUAUAAAAUUAAUCAGUGCUAUUUAUGAGAACUAGGAAAAAGGCUUGCAAUAAAAGCAGCAAAGAAAAAACUAGCACCUAAGAGUUAUCCCUGUGAUGGACAUAAAGUUCUUAAUAUGAUGAAAAAAAUUUUGUCAAUUUGAACCUGGGAGGCAGAGGUUGCAGUAAGCUGAGAUUGCGCCACUGCACUCCAGCCUGGGUGACAGAGGGAGACUCUGUCAAAAAACAAACAAACAAACAAAAAAAUACAUAUAUAUAUAUAUACAGGAAUUUAAAUUUUCUUAUCUUUCUAGAUCUCAUGUCAAUCAUUUUUAAUGAAUUCCAGUUUGGUGUAUGUGGACUACUACAAUUAACUGAAAACUACUCAAACUUUCAAAGCUCAAAGCAAAAAUUUUACAAAUUUAAAGAAAAGUAAUAAAAUCAAUAUGUAUUAUUUUAUGCCUACAGGAUUUACAGCCAGUAAAAGUCCUCCCAAUGUAGCAAAAUACAAAUGAUGUGGAAUCAGGUUCAAACACGGAGAGGAAAAGACAGUUCCUCCACAUUUUGACUUCCAAACACACUUCUUUCUCUGCAAAUAAGAAAACAAAUUAAUUUGUUCUUGUUGAUGGUUAACAAAUCCAUAUAACCUACCCUUCAUGAUAUUAUGUCUGUUUAGUUAAUAUAAGUUUUUAUCUUUAGUAUAAAGUACAUGCCUACUGUGGAGAAUCAGAUUAGUAUAAAGACAAAGGACACUACCCAGAGACAACCAGUGUUAACAUUUUAGCAUUUUCUCAUUUGAUCUUUUUGGGGUAUGGGUGUGUGUGUCUGGGCGCACACAUCUGAGAAUAUGUGUAUAUACACACACACGAUCUAAUAUAGCUGAGAUCAUUCUGAAUAUAUAACUUGGUAUCAUAUUUUGCUCACUGAUUUUGUAAAAUGAUUUAAAUAUAAUUUUAAUCCAUAAUAUCCCAUAUGAACAUAAAUAAUUUCUCUCUCUACCUUAUCAUUGAACGUUUUUUGGAAUUUCUAGGUAUUAUAAACAACUUAGAAAUAGGCAUCUUAAUGCAUAUAUUUGACUAUGUUUCUGAUUAUUUUUGCCAGGAUUUCUAAAAAACGAAUUUUAUUGGAUCAAGGAUAUGAUAUUGUUACCUAUGGUCAAAUCGUUUUCAUUAGAGGCCUCACUAGUUACAACCUCUUACCACUCUCAUCAGCAUUUAAUGUUAUGAUGAAUAUGUCUUCUAAUCUAACACCAUUUGUUUAUCUCAAGAGUUUUUAAUUUUCAUUCCUUUGAUUAUUAAAUUCAUGAACUAUUUAUAUACAUUUACUAGCCGUCUCUUCUUUGGGGUCCUGUGUAUUUAUGUCCCUUGUUUAUUUUUCUAUCUGCUCUACAUUUGUCUUAUUAAUUUGUAUUUGAUCUUUAUUUUCAUUAAUACUUAUAAAUAUAAAUGAAUUUCCACUUUUUUUACAUUUAUUUCAAAAAUUUUCCCAGCUUAAUUUCAUAAUUCUUACAUAACAUUUUAAUUUUUAUGUAAUCAGGUCUUAAAACAUCUUAUUGAUAUCUUCGUCAUUUUUUUCUACUGUCAAGAUGAUAAUCCUAAAUUCUUUAAUUCCAAAACUCUGAGUAGCACACUUAUUUGUGGUAAAUUUGGUAAUGAAGUUAAAAAGGUCUUAAGAUAUUAAGACUUAAUUAAUGCUUUAUUCUUCCCAGACCACACAAGCUUGGGAAAUAGUUAAUACCUGUUCCAAGGCUCAACUACACCUGACAGUUACUCACUCUUCUUCUAAGUAUUGAAAUUUAAUGCUUCUAUGCUUAUGGUAUUAGACUAAUGAGGUGAAUUUUCUUUCUUUUUUUUUUUUUUUUUUUGAGAUAGAGUCUCACUCUGUCACCCAGGGUGGAAUACACUGUCACAAUCUUGGCUCACUGCAACCUCCACCUCCCAGGUUCACGCAAUCCUCCCACCUCAGCCUCUGGAGUAACUACCAUUACAGGCAUGCGCCACCAUGCCCAGCUAAUUUGAGGUCAAUCCUUACAUAAAUAUCUAAAGCAUAUGCGUGCUGGUCAUGAGAUCCAAUGUAAAUGAGUCCUGUGGUUGGAUCCAUGGUUGCCGAGCUUUUGACAGCAUCUUCAGUAGUAAACAUCCAGUAUUUUUCUCCACUAUUACUUUUCAGAACAUAAACUAAUCCAUUAUAACAGCCUACCAAGAAACAAAGCACAAAAGAUUUGAUAUAGAUAUAUUACUGGAAAAUAAUUCUUUAGCCUACAGCAUGCAAUUUAUAUUCAGUCCUCCUCUUAUACAUAGGCUCUAUGAUAAGCUCAUCUGGCUUACAUUUUAGCAAUGUAAAGCAGAAACUGAAUUAGUAAUCACUUAUGUAAAAUAUCUAUUUAGUAGGUGUAUCUUAUCUUUUAAAAGUACUUCACUAAUUUUUUUACAUACUUAUUUUUAAGAAGCGCUUCACUACUGAAAAAAUAAUAAAGUACACUGUGGUGGAGAGAGAUUUUUGACACAUCUGGAUUCAGAUUUCAUCACGACUGUCACUGGGCAUUUAAAUCACCCAGUGUUGCUAAGCCCCAAAUUAUUCAUCUGCAGAAUGUGGAGUCAUCUACUUCCAGGGUUAUUGCAACAAUUCAGAUAAUGUGAACAAAUGCCCAGUGCAUAGAAGGUGUUUAAGAAGUGCUAACGUUAAUAGUCAAUGUUCAUUGAGCAUUUACUAUGUGUCAGGCGUUAUUCUAAGUAUGUUACAUCUAUUAAUUCAUUUAAUCCCCACAGUGAAGUAAGUACUAUUAUAACCACAUUUUAUAGAUAACAAAAUUGAAGCACAGAGAGACUAAAUUACUGGGGAAAAAUUACACAGCUCAUAUGUGGCAAACCAAGAUUUGAAUCUAAGAAGUCAAUCUCCAGAGCCUAUGCUCUUAACAACUAAACUGCUUUUCCCAAAUUGCUGCUAUGGAUGAGAAGACAGGGCAGGAGUCCUUGACCUUGGUGUAGCCAAAAUAACCUAACUGGAAGUAGAGAUGGUUCAAAUGUACAAAGUGAAGGUCACUCAAAUUCCCUGGAGAUCAUGAAAAUCAGGAGAAGUAGAAUUUGGGGACAGCUAUUUAGGGCAAUUUCAUUGAUGCCCACUCUCUAGACAGCUCUGCCUAUGGCCGCUGCCACUCAUUUGAGGCCCAAUUCCCAAUGUACUUUUUAUGCUUUUUUUUCCCCUGGCAGUUAUUAUUUAGUAGCAAGAGAGUAGUGGCCAGCUCAGAGAUGACAAAGAGAAAUGUCCUACAUAGUAGAGCACCCCAGAACUCACCUGGGUAAAGAUUUCUGUCAAUUCAGUUUAAUUCCAAAAGACAAUACAAAAGAAAAUCUUUUUGACCUUGGGUUAGGCAAAGAUUGCUAAGAUGACACCAAAAGCAUGACCCAUUAAAAAAAUUAAAUUGGACUUCAUCAAAAUAAAGGACUCCUCUUCAAAAGACACUAUGUCACUACGCUAAAAGAAUAAAACACAAGCCCCAGACUGAGAGAAAACAUGCAAAACAUAUAUCUGAUAAAUGAUUUAUAUUCAGAAUACAUAAAACAAUUCUUAAAACUCAAUUUAAAAAACUUAAAAAUGGGAAAAAGAUUUCAAUAGACACUUCACAAAAGAUACACAGAGAGCAAAUGAGGUUUUGAAAAGGUGCUCGUCAGACAUGGUGGCUCACGUCUGUAAUCCCAGCACUUUGGGAGGCUGAGGUGGGCAGAUCGCUUGAGCCCAGGAGUUUGAGACCAGCGUGGACAACACACAGAAGCUCUGUCUCUACAAAAAUUACAAACAUUAGCCAGGUGUGGUGGUGUAUCUGUAGUCCCAGCUACUCCAGAAGCUGAGGUGGGAGCAUCACCUGAGCCCAGGAGUUCGAGGGUGUAGUAAGCCAUGAUGACGCCACUGCACUCCAGCCUGGGUGACAGAGCAAGACGCUGUCUUAAAAAAAAAAAAAAAGAUGCUCAACAUCACUGGUCACUAGGGAAAGGCAAAUUAAAACCACAAUAAAAUUCCACUCAUGAUUAUUUCAACGGCUAUAACAAAAAAAAAGUUAAAGCUGACAAUACCAAGUACUAGCAAAAAUGUGGUGCAACUGGACUUUUCACACAUUGAUGGUGGAAAUGCAAAACACUUUAUCACUUUGGGAAACAAUUCAGCAGUUUCUUAUCAUUCAGGUGUAUUACUGAAAGUGUUCUGUAGUAUAAUUUUCAAAAUGCCGUUGUUUAAAGGGGAAGAAGGGAAGAAUCACAUUCAGAUUCAAGUAGAUUGCUGCUAGGAUAGCACAAGUAGGGAAAGCUAUUCCUAAGCCUUUAGUUUGAAAAGCUUUGAUGAAGAUUCCAUGAGCGUAUAAAAUGAAACCUAACAUACUUGGGAGAGUAAAAAGAGAGUUGUAGUCAGGGGGAGAUAUUAUACCCAGGACCCCCAUAUUCCUAAUAGAGUAAAAGUCACCUAUACCUUAAUGAAACUAAGCAGCAGUUAGUAGCUAACCCUUAAUGAGCACUUAUGAAAAAAUGCUCACCAGGCCAGACAUGGUGGCUCACGCCUGUAAUCUCAGCACUUUGGGAGGCUGAGGUGGGCAGAUCGCUUGAGCCCGGGAGUUUGAGACCAGCCUGGACAACACGCAGAAGCUCUGUCUCUACAAAAAUUACAAACAUUAGCCAGGUGUGGUGGCACGUCCCUAGCAAUGCACCAAUUGAUUCAUAAACAGUUAUCUCAUUUAAUCCUCCCAAAAGCUUGAUAAAAGAUUCUAGUGUUUUAAAAUAUGUCCAGGAGGCCGGGUGCAGUGGCUCACACCUGUAAUCCCAGCACUUUGGGACACCGAGGCAGGUGGAUCACAAGGUCAGGAGUUCAAUACCAGCCUGACCAACAUGGUGAAACCCCAUCUUUAUGCCCUUCUAAUUAACAGAAGAAAACAAAAAAUGAUGGUAUGGAACUUGGAACGCUAGGUCAUAAAAGGUACUCUGUUCCUCUUUACUUGCUGUCUCCUGGAUCACUCUGAGGAAUGUUAGCUGCCAUGUUGUAAGGGCAGUCAAGCAGCCUAGAGAGAGGCGUAUGUGGCAAGAAUUGAAGCUUCCUGCCAGAAUCAGCAAAGAACUGAGGCUUUCUGCUAAUAGUGAUGUAAAUGAGCUACCUUGGCAGAUUUUCCAACCCAAGUCAAGCUUUCAGAUGGCUAUAGCCACGUGAAAGCCCUGAGCCAGAACUGCCAGCUAAGCUGCUCCUGAAUUGCUGACCCAUAGAAACUAUGAGACAAUAAAUUUGUGUUGUUCUAGGUUGUUGAGUUUUGGGGUAUUUGUGAUACAGCAACACAUUUUAUUAUUAUUCCCAUUUUACCCACAAGGAAAGUGAAAUUCUA